CUGGGACCCACAGGAAUUCCCUCCCUUCAGUCCCGGGGGGAGGCGGCCGCGAUCCUGGGGGAGGCGCAGCCUCACAACCCGGACUUUGCGGGCGGGCGGGCACUGGUGAGAAGAGGAAGUGGGAGAGGCCUGGGAAGGAAACUUGGAAACCGAAAACUCGGCGGCCGAGGCUCCGUGCCCCGCGCGCAGCGCUGCUCCUGCCCCGGCCAAGGACGCACGGGCCAGCCGGCGGAACCAGAGGUUUUCAGUGAUGUUGAGAGUCAACAGGAAAUUAAUCAGCAAGUAGAAAAUUGAAAGAAGAUCUGCAUCUUACUGCAGGAGUCAUUAAAAUAAAAGCAGAUUUGGCAAAAUGGCAAGAACCAGAGGAUGAGGAUGUAAAACAAAAACUUUUGGAGUCAUUUUGCCACCAGGAUGAAAAUAGGAUGAAGCUGACAUGACAAAGGUGCAGGUGUUCUGAUAUGAGAAGAACUUCUUCAGAAGGUAUCUUAAUGCAUAUGGGGAAACUGAGGCCCAGACAUGGCAGAGGAGACACAGCAAUAACUAAGGGGCAACUAUUGCAUCCAGAAAAAAAAAAAAUGAAGAUAAUGACUUCUCUGCAACUAAGAUGAAGAUCCACUGAACUUUGGGGUUUGAAAUGCAACGUUAGAACUUCAGACUCCCGGCACCUAGGUCUCCAGCUGCUGGGUGGUGCCAGCAUCAGAGAUACACUCUGCAAAACAUAUACUGUCUUAGGAAAAAGUGACCCUGUUGUCCUUUCAGGCCCAUAUUCCACAAGAAGACAAAUGGAGAUGUAAAAGGAAAACUGCAGCUCCGACUGAAGAGAGAGCAAGUUGUCUGUUCUGAUACAGCCAGGAAAUAAGAUGUUCUGGUUAAUAUGUGCUAAAGAUGUGGUGCUGACUUUCCGACUCAGAAUAUGAUCACAUGUUUUUCUCAUUAAAACUAUAUUGAAUAUUAUUUGACCAUUGUUGAGUCAGUCAUCUUGAUAAAUAUUAUCUUCGUACAGUCCUGAGCAGAGAGUCAGUGACUAGAAUGCCACUGAAACCAGCUUUUUAUAGGACACGGUUUUCAUGGUUUUAGGGCAUGGAGAAACUU
rnacentral:lncRNA from 1 species